rnacentral:rRNA from 1 species
UACGAAGGGGGCUAGCGUUGCUCGGAAUCACUGGGCGUAAAGGGUGCGUAGGCGGGUCUUUUAAGUCAGGGGUGAAAUCCUGGAGCUCAACUCCAGAACUGCCUUUGAUACUGAGGAUCUUGAGUUCGAGAGAGGUGAGUGGAACUGCGAGUGUAGAGGUGAAAUUCGUAGAUAUUCGCAAGAACACCAGUGGCGAAGGCGGCUCACUGGCUCGAUACUGACGCUGAGGUGCGAAAGCGUGGGGAGCAAACAGG